AAAUAGAUACCCCGGUAGUCCACGCCGUAAACGAUGAGUGCUAAGUGUUAGGGGGUUUCCGCCCCUUAGUGCUGCAGCUAACGCAUUAAGCACUCCGCCUGGGGAGUACGGCCGCAAGGCUGAAACUCAAAGGAAUUGACGGGGGCCCGCACAAGCGGUGGAGCAUGUGGUUUAAUUCGAAGCAACGCGAAGAACCUUACCAGGUCUUGACAUCCUCUGACAAUCCUAGAGAUAGGACGUUUCCCUUCGGGGAACAGAGUGACAGGUGGUGCAUGGUUGUCGUCAGCUCGUGUCGUGAGAUGUUGGGUUAAGUCCCGCAACGAGCGCAACCCUUGAUCUUAGUUGCCAGCAUUCAGUUGGGCACUCUAAGGUGACUGCCGGUGACAAACCGGAGGAAGGUGGGGAUGACGUCAAAUCAUCAUGCCCCUUAUGACCUGGGCUACACACGUGCUACAAUGGAUGGUACAAAGGGCUGCAAGACCGCGAGGUUUAGCCAAUCCCAUAAAAACCAUUCUCAGUUCGGAUUGCAGGCUGA
rnacentral:rRNA from 1 species